rnacentral:rRNA from 2 species
AACGAACGCUGGUGGCAGGCCUAACACAUGCAAGUCGAACGGAUAAGAGCGGAGCUUGCUCCGAACACUGUCAGUGGCAAACGGGUGAGUAAUACAUGGGAAUCUACCUCGUAGUACGGAAUAACUAUGGGAAACUAUGGCUAAUACCGAAUACGCCCUCCGGGGGAAAGAUUUAUCGCUAUGAGAUGAGCCCAUGUCGGAUUAGCUUGUUGGUGAGGUAAUGGCUUACCAAGGCUACGAUCCGUAGCUGGUUUGAGAGGAUGACCAGCCACACUGGAACUUAGACACGGUCCAGACUCCUACGGGAGGCAGCAGUGAGGAAUAUUGGACAAUGGGCGCAAGCCUGAUCCAGCCAUGCCACGUGAAUGAUGAAGGCCUUCGGGUUGUAAAAUUCUUUUAGUGGGGAAGAUAAUGACGGUACCCACAGAAAAAGCUCCGGCUAACUUCGUGCCAGCAGCCGCGGUAAUACGAAGGGGGCUAGCGUUGUUCGGAAUUACUGGGCGUAAAGAACAUGUAGGCGGUUUAUCAAGUUGGAAGUGAAAUCCCGGGGCUUAACCUCGGAACUGCUUUCAAAACUGGUUUACUAGAGAUAGGUAGGGGACAUUGGAAUUCCUAGUGUAGAGGUGAAAUUCGUAGAUAUUAGGAGGAACACCGGAGGCGAAAGCGAAUGUCUGGACCUAUUCUGACACUGAGAUGGACAAAGCGUGGAGAGCAACCAGGAUGAGAUACCACUGGUAGUCCACGCUGUAAACGAUGAGUGCUAGAUAUCGGGGCCUUGGUUUCGGUGUCGCAGCUAACGCGUUAAGCACUCCGCCUGGGGAGUACGGUCGCAAGAUUAAAACUCAAAGGAAUUGACGGGGACCCGCACAAGCGGUGGAGCAUGCGGUUUAAUUCGAUGCUACGCGAAAAACCUUACCAACUCUUGACAUACCGGUCGCGAGAACCAGAGAUGGAUCUCUUCAGUUAGGCUGGACCGAGUACAGGUGUUGCAUGGCCGUCGUCAGCUCGUGUCGUGAGAUGUUGGGUUAAGUCCCGCAACGAGCGCAACCCUUAUCCUUAGUUACCAACAGGUAAUGCUGGGCACUCUAAGGAAACUGCCGGUGAUAAACCGGAGGAAGGUGAGGACGACGUCAGGUCAUCAUGGCCCUUACGAGUUGGGCUACACGCGUGCUACAAUGGUGGUGACAGAGGGAAGCUAAAGAGCGAUCUGGUGCAGAUCCCUAAAAACCAUCUCAGUUCGGAUUGGAGUCUGCAACUCGACUCCAUGAAGUCGGAAUCGCUAGUAAUCGUGAAUCAUCAUGUCACGGUGAAUACGUUCACGGGUCUUGUACACACUGCCCGUCACGCCAUGGGAGUUGGUUUAACCUGAAGUCGGUGAGCUAACCUUUUAGGAAGCAGCCGCCCACGGUAAGAUUAAUGACUGGGGUG